GUUAGGAAUUUUGCGCAAUGGGGGAAACCCUGACGCAGCAACGCCGCGUGAAGGAUGAAGGCUUUCGGGUUGUAAACUUCUUUUGGCAGGAAAGAAAAAAAUGACGGUACCUGCAGAAAAAGCACCGGCUAACUCUGUGCCAGCAGCCGCGGUAAUACAGAGGGUGCAAGCGUUAUUCGGAAUUACUGGGCAUAAAGAGCGCGUAGGCGGUCUGAUAAGUCUGAUGUGAAAUCCCUGGACCCAAUUCAGGAAGUGCAUCGGAUACUGUCAGACUUGAGUACAGGAGGGGAGAGCGGAAUUCCUGGUGUAGAGGUGAAAUUCGUAGAUAUCAGGAGGAACAACAGUGGCGAAGGCGGCUCUCUGGACUGUUACUGACGCUGAGGCGCGAAAGCGUGGGGAGCAAACAGGAUUAGAAACCCUUGUAGUCC
rnacentral:rRNA from 1 species